rnacentral:rRNA from 1 species
AUUGAACGCUGGCGGCAGGCCUAACACAUGCAAGUCGAACGAGUGGCGGACGGGUGAGUAAUGUCUGGGAAACUGCCUGAUGGAGGGGGAUAACUACUGGAAACGGUAGCUAAUACCGCAUACCAUCGGAUGAGCCCCGAUGGGAUUAGCUCGUAGGUGGGGUAAAGGCGCACCUAGGCGACGAUCCCUAGCUGGACGGAGAGGAUGAUCAGCCACACUGGAACUGAGACACGGUCCAGACUCCUACGGGAGGCAGAAGUGGGGAAUAUUGCACAAGGGGCGCAAGCCUGAUGCAGCCAUGCCGCGUGGAUGAAGAAGGCCUUCGGGUUGUAAAGUACUGUCAGCGGGGAGGCGUUACCCACAGAAGAAGCACCGGCUAACUCCGUGCCAGCAGCCGCGGUAAUUC